rnacentral:lncRNA from 1 species
AGACUUGCCUCUGCUGUCUCUCUCCUCCAUCUGCUGCUCUCCCAGGGCCUCUCCACCAUUUGCUCUCCAUUCCACUACUGGCCCAUGCUCGAUUCCGUGGCUCUGGCCACCCCUGAGGCAUGCCAAGGCCGAGGCAGCAACUGAGGACUCCACAUCACAGAUGCCUGUGAUCACAGAGGCCACCUGAGGCCACUGACAUGGCUCCCCUGUCCUGGGGCCCCAGAAGACAGCGGGCUGUGUCCUUGUUAGAGGGAUCCCGAGCAGAUGAGAAAACUGGGACUGCAACAUGAACCACUGUCCACAUCACAUGGCUGAAGGGGACAGGACCCACAGGGACACGAGUCAGAAGAAUCUACCACCAUCGGAACCCAAGUGAGACUCAGACUCCCCAGUGUGUCCAUGGCAGCCCUGGCUUUGACCUGCAACUCCAA